AUGAACGCUGGCGGCGUGCCUAAUACAUGCAAGUCGAGCGAACGGACGAGAAGCUUGCUUCUCUGAUGUUAGCGGCGGCCGGGUGAGUAACACGUGGAUAACCUACCUAUAAGACUGGGAUAACUUCGGGAAACCGGAGCUAAUACCGGAUAAUAUUUUGAACCGCAUGGUUCAAAAGUGAAAGACGGUCUUGCUGUCACUUAUAGAUGGAUCCGCGCUGCAUUAGCUAGUUGGUAAGGUAACGGCUUACCAAGGCAACGAUGCAUAGCCGACCUGAGAGGGUGAUCGGCCACACUGGAACUGAGACACGGUCCAGACUCCUACGGGAGGCAGCAGUAGGGAAUCUUCCGCAAUGGGCGAAAGCCUGACGGAGCAACGCCGCGUGAGUGAUGAAGGUCUUCGGAUCGUAAAACUCUGUUAUUAGGGAAGAACAUAUGUGUAAGUAACUGUGCACAUCUUGACGGUACCUAAUCAGAAAGCCACGGCUAACUACGUG
rnacentral:rRNA from 1 species